AUAUGAUAAGGAUGAAGAACUAGGAGAGUACGCUUCGAUCCGUUCCAAGGCAACACUGGGAACUGUUAAAGUAUACCAUUGAGAAUAUGAUGAAGGACGUCUCCUUUGUUCGUUGAGAGCUGAAGUGUGAAGAUCAGGGACUGUCCUGCAGCAUCGAUGCGUGUGUAGUUGAUUUAUUACGCUGUGUGUUAGCUGAUUUGUUCUGUGUGUUAGUUGAUGAGUGUUAGUUGAUGUGUUCUGUAUGUUAGUUGAUGUGUGUUUAUUGAUGUGUUCUGUGUGUUAGUUGAUGUGUUCUGUGUGUUAGUUGAUGUGUGUUAGAUGAUUUGAUGUGUGUGUUAGUUGAUGUGUUCUGUGUGUUAGUUGAUGUGUUCUGUGUGUUAGCUGAUGUGUGUUAGUUGAUGUGUUCAGUUUGAUGCGUGUUAGUUGAUGUGUGUUAGUUGAUGUGUGUUAGUUGAUGUGUGUUAGUUGAUGUGUUCUGUGUGUUAGUUGAUGUGUUCUGUGUGUUAGUUGAUGUGUUCUGUGUGUUAGUUGAUGUGUGUUAGUUGAUGUGUUCUGUGUGUUAGUUGAUGUGUUCUGUGUGUUAGUUGAUGUGUUAGUUGAUGUUUAGGUCAGACGCGCUGAUACAUUGAGCUUCCUGUCUCAAAAGAACAACAACAACCCCAAUGUCUCC
ensembl:lncRNA